AUACGGAGGGUGCGAGCGUUAAUCGGAAUUACUGGGCGUAAAGCGCGCGUAGGCGGCUUGGUCAGUCGGAUGUGAAAGCCCCGGGCUCAACCUGGGAAUGGCAUUCGAUACUGCCAGGCUAGAGUAUGGGAGAGGGAAGUGGAAUUUCCGGUGUAGCGGUGAAAUGCGUAGAUAUCGGAAGGAACACCAGUGGCGAAGGCGACUUCCUGGCCCAAUGCUGACGCUGAGGUGCGAAAGCGUGGGGAGCGAACAGGAUUAGAAACCCUAGUAGUCC
rnacentral:rRNA from 1 species